CCUACAUCUAAACUGAAAUCACAGCGCCUCAUGCAUCUAUAUGCAACAUCCCACGAAUAUAGUCUUUGGAAACAAGCACUGCAACUCGUUCCCUCGCUGUUGUGGACAAAAAAGAGUGAAUGCUCAUGACUUGGGUGCUUCAAGGUGUCCGACAAUAACAUACAUUGAAUGUCAAUUUCGAAGCUGAAAUCUCCUUCGUAGCAUCUGUAGCUAAAUCCUUGAUACAGACGACGGCAAGCACAGCACAAUGAAUAACCAUACUCAUCGUGUGAGUUUGAGAGAGUAAGCAAAUGCUUGUGAAAUGGGUGUGGCAUUUCUUCAGGCAAUUCAGCGCAAUCUUUGUGGAGAAAGAACUUGCAUUGCUCACAACUAUAAAAAGGAGUUGAUAUAGGUCUCGUGCACCCAUCGCACUAACUAUCAUCAUCUUUGGUCUUCCUACUAAAAGUGAGUCUUAAAUUAUGAUCAUGAUAGGAAUGCUUGAUCUCACUUGCUACCAUUAGCUCUCCAAUACGAAUUUGUUCAACAACAUCAGUAAUCAAAUUCCAAGGUUCAUCCACCACUUCCUCAGACCUCUUAUCAUAGCCUUCCGGCAUAAUUGUUCCAUCCCAAAUUACUUUAUCAGUUGCACAAAGUACAUGAGCAAUAUAACGGCAACGAGAAGCAGGACAACGGUAAUGGCCAUAGUGUUGAAAUUGGCCAACUAUUCUGCUGUUACAGUGCAUGCAGCUUGAUGACAUGCUGCAGCAUGUAUACUUGCUGUAACAGCAAGGUUUUCUUUUUAGUUUCUUUGUUGAUUAAACUACUUGGAAAUGAACAAGCUGAUGACAGCUUGAUAUGUUUAGGUGUUGAAUGACUAGUUUAGGUGGUUUGUUUGUGUACAAGCAAUGUUUUUAAAGUUACUAGGCUACUUAGUGGUAGUAGGUAGUAAUAACUGAUGUAGUUGGCUAUAAAUGUAUUGUUUUUCUUAUUGAAAAAUUAAGCAUAUCAGUUGUGAAACUUAGAUUGCUUCCUUGUUGCACGUUUGUGAGCAAGUAAAUUGUUUUUGUUUCUUCCUCAUUUGUUCUCUGUUUUGUUCUUUUUCUAAGAGCUGCUGCCAUUGUUCUUUCUUUUUCUUUUUUUCUGCCUGUUAACCGAGGGCUUAUGCUCUUGAUGCUUUGUGUUUCUGCUUGCUGUUUGAAGAGCUUAUGCUCUUAGUGUUUCAUUGUUUGGUUGUUGCUGCCAAAUGUUCCAACAAAUGGUAUCAGAGCCUAAGUCUUAAGGGGCCAUUGAUUUUGCUUCCGUUGCUUGUUAAAAAGAAAGAAGCUGUCAAAACACAAGCAAGUCAUUAAGGACUACUUGUAGAGAAGACAGCAUUGGCUCAAACUUAUGAGACCCCCAAACAAGCUUGAAUAAGCUGGAGGAGGAGUUUCAGUUUCAAGGAAAGGUGUGAGCUUUCCAAAUGUGCAAGCUUAGCAAGAUGUCAAAGCUGCAAGGUUAGCAAAGUGCGAGCCUGUUGAAGACACCUGUUGAAGACAAUAUGCAAAGAUAUGAGUCUGUCAAAGGUGUGAGCUCAGCAACAUGUGGAAGCUCAAUGCGUGUUGUAUAGUUGCAAGCCUGUUGAAGACAGUAAGCAAAGUGUGAGCCUGUCGAAUUGCAAGCAAAAAUGGCAGAAUGAAGGCAAGCAAACUAUACUCAAGAACUGUUUGUGCAAGAAGAAGCAAGAUUGUAGUGAACAAAGAAACAAGGUAAGAUGUGUAGUCAACCAAGGCUGUGAAGGAGGAGAAGACUCCAUUUGGUGAACAAAUCUUUGGCACAAAAAACUGGGAUAGUCAAGUGUGUAAGUUAGAUUUGUUUGUGAAUGAAGCCAAUGUUGAAAAUGAAUUGGUCAGCUUGAAACAAAACAUCUAAGGGCUGUCAAGUUCAAAAAACUUGAUGAAUGAUUGGUAUUUGCAGCAUGGAGUCCAAGGAGGAGUGUUGAAAUUGGCCAACCAUUCUGCUGUUACAGUGCAUGCAGCUUGAUGACAUGCUGCAACAUGUAUACUUGCUGUAACAGCAAGGUUUUCUUUUUAGUUUCUUUGUUGAUUAAACUACUUGGAAAUGAACAAGCUGAUGAUAGCUUGAUAUGUUUAGGUGUUGAAUGACUAGUUUAGAUGGUUUGUUUGUGUACAAGCAAUGUUUUUAAAGUUACUAGGCUACUUAGUGGUAGUAGGUAGUAAUAACUGAUGUAGUUGGCUAUAAAUGUAUUGUUUUUCUUAUUGAAAAAUUAAGCAUAUCAGUUGUGAAACUUAGAUUGCUUCCUUGCUGCACGUUUGUGAGCAAGUAAAUUAUUUUUGUUUCUUCCUCCUUUGUUCUCUGUUUUGUUCUUUUUUUAAGAGCUGCUGCCAUUGUUCUUUCUUUUUCUUUUUUCUGCCUGUUAACCGAGGGCUUAUGCUCUUGAUGCUUUGUGUUUCUGCUUGCUGUUUGAAGAGCUUAUGCUCUUAGUGUUUCAUUGUUUGGUUGUUGCUGCCAAAUGUUCCAACACAUAGCUUAUAUCAACUUCCUUGUAACAAAUUUUGCACAUCCAAUCCUCAACUUGAUUUUGUCAAAAAGAAUACGAAAGAGAAAUCGUGUGAUGAUGUCGUGUUAUCAUGAUGUGGCGUGGCAAUGAAAUGUAAUUCUUAUGGACAAAAAGUACACAGGUAUCACAGUGAUAAGGGGAGUGAUCUCCGUCAGUGCCACAAAAAUCACAAACAAACCACAUUUUUCUAGAUACAAGCAUCCACGGGUGUUCAUGACUUGCGACUGUGAUUGUUGGUGGUGAAAAAAGAAAAUCAUCAAGUGAAAGAUCAAAGUUGCAUAGAGAGCAGGAAUAAACAAACCCCUUCCAUUGGAUUCUGCACAAAGAGCAACUACAUUUCUGGGGAUGAGUAGGCGGUUGUGGCAAGAGAGUAAGAGGAUGCUUACGGUCACAGGGGUGAUUAAUCUCAAGGGGCAGUUCAGCACAUUCUUUAUGAAGGUUAAAGACUAUAGGAUACGUACAAUCUGAACAGUGGUAAAAUGGACCAGAUAUUGGUUUUUGACACCCGGGGCAAUCAGGCUCGACUUCCUUGUUAUAGUUUUGAAAGAAGUGUAAAGGAUGGGGGUGCAAAGAAUUAGGAAAGUUUGCAGCAAUGGAUGAUUGAAGCAAAGCACAAUUGAUGAGCAGAUCGAACUCAUAAUCAAAAUAAUUAUAAACAAAUCCCUCAAAAUUCUUACCACACAGAUCGCACCCGCUUAUGCUCGAAGAAUAAGGUGAUUUUGGCAGAAGAGUGAGAGGGUGUUUGGGGUGGAAGGGAUGCUGAAUCUUGGGGGCUAACUCUAACUCAGCACAUCCCUUGUGAAGAUAAAACUCACAUUGAUUGCAGCCAUAGCUCCAGCCCUCUACGGGUUUCUGACACCCAAGGCAAAGAGCUGCUUUGCUUGCAACACUGUGAGCUUGGAUGAAGACCAAAGGAUGGUGAUGGCUGAAAUGUUGAAUUUCCAUCUCUCUUUCUUUCCAACUCUCGGAUACUGUGAAAUUAUUUAGAAGAAGAAAAACAAAAAUGAAAUUGCUUCAUCAAAUUAUUCCAGGCCUCAUGGUUAGUAGAUUCUUUUCUUGGGUGUUGGUUUUGGUCUUCAUAAAGAAAGGAAUAUAUUGAUGCUUUGCCCAAUUUUCAAAAUUCUAAGCAUAGAUAUAGAUAUAAUUAAGCAAAUAAAGAAAGAAAGAGAAAGAAACAUCAGAAGAAAGUAUGAGGAAGAAGGAAGUAGGAGAGGACACUUUUCUUCGGGAAAUUUUGUUUCUUGCUCUCCACGUUUCAUUCCAAUGAUACCAGUCCUGAUGUUAACAAGUAUGCAUACAUUCAGGGAGCAAAACUAAGGGUGUGCAAUAGUCGGGUCAAACUGACUAAAGUAAUUCAACGGUUCGAUUUUAGUUUUGUCGAGUAUGUUGUAGGUCCGGUAAAUUUGUUUUCAUUUUGGAAAUCCAAAAUCAAAUUAAUCGACUCUCAAUUUCAAAUAGCAAAUUUUGUCAUAUCAACGAGUGAAAGAAAAAAUUAAUAUUAAAAUUAUAUUUACAAAAAAAAUUAUUUAGUAUUUUCUGCCAAUAUUAUUUAGUAAUUCAAUCAUAGGUAGAGCAGUAAAUUAUUCAUAAAAUAUUCCACACGAUUACAUAAAAUAUAAUAAGGUGGCACUUGGACUAUGAAACAUAUAGUGAGCUCUUUCAUCAUACAUAUAGAUCUCCAUUUCACCACAUAGACUCAUGGAGUCAAACAUGUCCCAAAAGUGAAGCAUUUAGUUAACACUCUCCUUAUUUCCCCUUGCAUGUCCCGUUAAAUGGAGCUUAGCGCUCAUUCCCUUAUCCCUCCAACAUGUCUCAAGGCCUCAAUGCCCAAACCACUAUACAUAUAAGUGAGUACUCAAAUGCUAUGGCAUGCCAACUAUAUCCAAUGGUUCCAAGAUCAUAAUGCCAAAAUACCUAAAAACAACACAUAUUACUUACUGAUUAUCUGUGCAUUAUCACUACAUAGUAACAUCUUUUGCAAAACACUAGCAUAGUCAUAUAACAUAUAUAUUACACAUUCAUUUCUGUAUAUAAUAGCACUUUACACAAUAAUCACCACACUCACUGAUCACAUUUCAUGCACAACACAUAUCCACAAGAUAAUUAUAGAUUCAAGAAAAUUUACACUCAAAACUUAGAGUAGGGGUUUAGGCUAUAUCUAAAUUCCAAAAUAACACAUGACUCGUGUUUACGAGUAGCAAUUCCAUACACUCACCACUUUAGGCCUUUUUCGGAAAAUUGAAAGCUCAACUAACACUUCCCUACCUCGUAGCAAGCUCUAACGAAUCUGAAGCUUUGCACACAUAAAUCAUACAAUAACCACAGUCAAAUAUCAACCAAGAAUCCACUCAAACCAACUAAAACACAAGCUUAAGCUAAGUUCUCAUGUAACUUAAACUAUUAACAUAAUAAACUUUAAAUUCUAGUAUCUCAGGUUAUACUCAAUAUUUUUGCCUAAAAUUAGUUCCAUUCAUUUAAUUAAUCAUAUAUGACUAAUUCGCAACCUUCAAACUAGACAAAUCUAUGCCUAAUUUACGCUCUGGAUGUUGAGCCGGAACUUUAAUUUCUACUAACCUACACAUGGAAACAACCGUACGCUGAGUAUAUCAUACUCAAUGGUAUUACUAUAAUUCAAAUUAUAAUAUAACAACCAAGUAAAUUAAAUCAUUUAACUUUAAAAAUUUACCAAACUAAUUCAUUUUUAACUUUCAUUUCUCAAUAUCUACAAUUCAAUUUGGGUUUCAUUAGUUGAUAUCUUAUACUAUCACAUUGAGCCAUUAUUUAUCUCAUGAACAUUUAGUUCAUGCUUUCUAUUCACAUUUUCAUAUUCAAUUCACAUUUUCAAAUUAUAUUCCACAAUCAUAUUUCUUUUCAAUGGCUCAACAGAUUCAUUUCGUUCUAUUUAACUUUUCAAUUAAUUACCCCUAUUAUCAGACUCGAACUUUGGCGGAUACACGAAUCCAACCAAACACACCAGAUUGGCACCUAGUGCCUCAUCGGAUAGUUCGAAGCAAAGUUGACACCCAGCGUCUCAUCGGCCUAGCUGAAGUAAAGUGAUACCCAGUAUCUCAUCGAAUCUAUCCGAAGUAAAAUUGUGACAACCAGUGUCUCAUCGACUCGAGGUCGAAGUAUCCCUGAACUCUUCCAAUCCUAUGGCAUGCCAACUAUAUCCGACUCAGCCCGACUAGUUAAUAGGGUUUCCAAUUCACAAUUCAAACUCACUUUCAUUUCAAAAUUUACUUUCAAUAUCAAAUUCACUUUUUCAUUCACUAAUAAAAAUCCAAUUCAAUACUAACACAUAUUUCUCAUUCAAUUCAAUUUUCUAAAUUCAAUUCAAUAAAAUUACUUACCUCAAUAUUUACUUACCAUAAAUUAAAUAAAUUUAAAAUUAAUAUUUAAUAAUGAAUAAUUUGAAUUAUAGUAAUACAAACUCAAAUUUCGCGAUUACUCCUCGAUAACUUUUUUCUUUCCUUUCGGUGCCGAUGUCUCGGGUUCUUUACUAGCUACGAAAAUUAAAAUAAUUUACAAUCAUUAAUAUAUCACUAAUUUACAUUAAAUACUAAAUUUCUAUUUAACUUUCACUUAAAUUCCAAUUUUAAUCCUAACUAAAUUCAUCUAUUUUGCCAUAACAAUUUAUAUCUUAUUCCCAUCCAAAUUCCAUAUAAACUUAAAUUUAACUAUCAAAAUUUCAUCAUAAUUUCGUAAUUUCGAAUUUCUUUCAAUUUAGUCCCUACAACACAAAACUUAUAGCCUAAUUUACAAUUUAAUCAUUUAAUCAAUUCUAAUCAAUAAUUCUAUUAAAUAAACUCCUAAUUCAAUCAUUUAUUCAACAUGAACCCUACUAAAAAAUCUACUAAUUUUUAAAUUUUCAACUUAUAUUCAAUAAUAUUCAACUCUAGGACUAAGAAAAGGGACUAAAUUGACUUACCAAAUUAAACCCUAAACUUUAAAAACCCUAAUUUCUCCUUCCUUUCUCUUUUUCUUUUUCAUUCUAUCCCUUUCUGUUUUCGUUUCUAUCUAUGUUUCUUUUUCAAUUUCUUUUGUUUGUUUUAUCUUUUAUUUUACUUUAGUAAUUAUAUUAUUAUAUUAACUUAAUAAUAAUUAUUAUUAUUUCUUACAUAUUAUGUAAAUAAAUAUGUAUUUUACAAUUGUAUGUAUAUGAUUUAUGUCGAAACCAUUUUUUUGAAAACAAAAAAUUUAGGUUAUCGACUUUGAAAACAAAAAUUGGAGUCGCCACCGAUCCGUGAUUUAGGUGUGACCGGCUCACCUUUAAAACAAUUUGGUCUACGAAAUUUGAGAAAACGGGUUCGGGAGUCAGUUACGCACGAGGAAGGAUUAGCACCCUCGUAACGCCCAAAAAUCGGUACCAAAUUGAUUAUUUAAUGUCUUAGUGUCGAAAAUUAAAAAGAUUUUGUUAAACUCAAAUGUUGAAAUCUGAAAAGGAUAAUCAAUUAUUCAAGUCAUGCGAAGAAAUUGAGACCCAAUACGUUAGGGUACAAUUUCUCAAAAUCCCCGAAUUUUGAAUAUCGCUUUUUAAUUAAAUUUUCAAAGAAAAUCUUCAUUUCGAGAAAGCAAUAUGUCAUGCCCAAUGCGUUAGGACAUAACAUAUUGAAUUCCCGAAAAUGAUUUUUGUUUAUACAUUUUAAAUAAUGAAUAUUCUCGGCUAUUUGAAAUUAACAAAGAAAAUCGGAACCCAAUACGUUAGGGCUCAAUUUUCCUCGAAAAUCCCUAACUUUGAAUAUCGUUUUUAUUUUGAAAACCUUUGAAUCAUAAAAAUAAUUUAAUGUUUUGACAAAAUCAAAAUGUAGUUAAAAAAUGUGUUAAAAAUGUCAAUGCAACAUGAAACGAAUAUUUUAAUUUAAAUUAUACAUGUAUAUGAUAUAUAUAUAUAUAUAUAUAUAAAUGGUAUAAAAGUAAAUUUUGCAAGUAUGUAUAUGACCAUGAAAUAAUAAAAAAUAAUAAUAAUAAUAAAUGCAUAAGUUUUAUAAAAUGUUAGUGCAUACAUAUAUAUGAAUACAAAAGUCAUGAAAAUAAAACAAUAAUAAAAUACAUAUCAAGUAUAUUCAUACAUUUACAAAAAAAAAUAAAAGUAAAAAUAUAAUAUAUUAGUAAAUUAUAAAAAAAAUGAAAAUAUAUACAUAAAAACAUGCAAAAAAAAAUAUUUAUAAUAAUUUGAAUAAUGUAUAAACAUGCACAUUAUGAAAGAAAUAUAUAUAUAGGAUUAUAAAAAUAUGAAAAAUGUAUAAAUAUUAUCAAAUAAUAAUGUAUGUACGUAUGUAUGUAAAAACUAAGAAAAUAAAAUAAUAAUAGAAUAUGUAUGUGUAUCAUUUAAAAAACAUUUAAAAUAUAUACAUAUAUAUUAUAAUAAAAACAAACAUAUGCGUAUAUAUGCAUAAAUAUAAUAAUAAUAAAAUAAAAAAAUGUAUAUAUAUUAAUAAAAAUAAAAUUAUAUAUAUAUAUAAAAUAAGAUACAUAUGCGCAUAAAUAUAUAUAAUAAUAAUAAAAAUAAUAAUAAGUAAUAUAAUAAUAAUAGUAAUAUAUAAUAUAAUAACAAAGAUAACAGCAACUUAAUAACAAUAAUAGUAUUAACAAACUAAUAUUUAAUCUAAUUUGUAAAAGCAAAUACAAUGGACUAAAUUAGAAUCAAAACAAAAUUAACAACACCAAAUCAAAUUAAAAUAGAGGAUGAAUUUGCAAAAUGCCGGCAACAUGAAGGGUCAAAAGGGAAAUUAAUCCCUCUUCUCCCAAAGUGCUGUGCAGCACUGGAUUAAAAUCAAACAAAUUUAAUGUUUUAGGGAAAAAUUUGAAAAUAGCAAAAACAGUGGUUUUGAAAUAAUGAAAACAUGAGAGGAUUAAAAGCAUAAAUAACCCAUAAGUGCUUAAAACCCAUUUCAAUCUCAAAUUUAAAGCUAUUCUGCAGCAGCUUCAAAAAUUGUUUCAUCUUCUUCCCAACUCCUCACGCCAAAACCCCCUCCCUUUUAACUUUGAUUUGGACAAAUGAAGCAAACGAUACCGAUGGCGCGCCUCUGCUGGUAAGAAUCUCCUCCCUUUCUUUUACUUUUCGUUUUCUUUCUCAAAAAAACGAAGUAAAAUACAAAAGAAAAAGAUGAGACAAAAAAAAAAAGAAACAGUAAAAAGAACUUGGAAAGAACAAAUCACCUUCAAAAAUUUGUUUUUUUUCUGAUUCUUUUCUUUCGUAUUUCAGUAUUUUUCAAUAUAUGUCUGUGUAACCCUUUUACAGAUUUGAUUUGGCUUUAUAUAGCCGAAACAACGGAGAAAGAAACUAUCGAAAAAAAACUCUCCCCCCCUUUGUCGUCCUCUCUGCCAUUAUUUUUAUUCGUGGUUCAUGGCUUGUUGCCGGUGUGGGCGUUGGAGAACGUGGGCAGUUGCUAUGCGAUCAUGCGUGAAGACGGUUGCUGCAACGUGGGGGCGAGGGUGAUGCCGAUCUGCUGCUUAUUGCCAAAUGUUUCUGCUGUUCAUUUUUUUUAUUUUAGGCUAGUGGGUCAGGUAUUUGGGUUAAUGACUUGGGCUUGUAAUGGGUUUGGGCUUUAGGCUUAGUUGGGCCCAAGUCAAAAAUUGGGUAUUACAAUUUAUUACACUUGUACUUUACUAUCGCCAUACAUUUGUCAACUUAUUAAUUUGUUCAUUGAUCUAAUAAUAUAAUAUCAAUUAAAUAAUAACGACAAUAAUAAUAAUUGUUAUAAUAAUAAAUAUCUAUUUAAUAACAAAUAUAAAUAUUACAAAUGUACACAUAUAUAUUUUACAUUUGUAUUUUAUCAUCACCAUCCACUUGUCAUAAUUUCAAUUUAUUUAUCAUAUAAAAAUCUUUUACUAAUUGAUAAUAAAUAAUAAAAUAUCUUUUUACUAAUUAUAUAUAUAAUACAAAUGUUCUCAUUUAAAUUAAUACACUUGUAUUUUAUUUUUACCUUACACUUGUCUUUUCUUAAUUUUUUUCAUAAUAUAAUAAUAUAAUCAAUUUAAUUUAUAAUAUAAUAACAAUAAUAACAAUAAUCAUAUAUUUUAUAAUUAAACAAUCAUAAAAAUCUUUUUGCCGCCUCAUUCAAUAGAAUAGGCUUAAUUGCCUAUUUAGUCCUCCUUAUAUUCUUUUAAUCAAUAAUUAGACUUUCACACCUUAUUCAAUUCAGUCCUUUUUCUUAAUAUCUAUUAACUAAGCUAAAUUUACCCAAUUUGAACCUAAUUAAACACUCAAUUAGACUCAUGAGUACUCCUAAUAAUUAUUUACGAAUUCGAUUUACAAAGCCGGAGGCCCUAUAACUCACUUUUCCCGUACCUGUGAAUUUUGGGUCAUUAGAGCAGAUUACAACAACUAAGGCCAUCACCCAUUUUUACCAAAUCUGCUACACCCUUCCACACAAACAACACAUCUCUCAUAUUGUGCCUUCUCUGUUUCUUAAACUUGAGUGGAAUAUCAUUCAAAUGCUUCUAAGGCGUCUCCAAAGGCAAUUCAAGUGGACAGUAAAAUUGCAUUCAGAUUCUUUACAUUCUAGGGCUUGCCCAUUGCAAACCUCACCACAUCCCUUACAUGGAGGGCAAUUCCAGAUGUUUUUCACAACAGUGAAUGGAUGUUUAUGCCUAUAUACUUUCAAUUUGUUCCCAAGCUUCAUAUAUGAGAGAUCUCCGAUAGCACAAUUGAGAUGAAGAGAGUUAUCACAAUCAGCACAAUAGUAAAACCAACGAUUUGGCUCUCUUUCUUUCUCGCAGAGAUCGCAGUAAAGUUGAGAAGGCUCGGAAUCAUUAGAAUAAGUCAAAGUAAGAGGAUGCCUGUCAUACUUGUACCAAGCAGUGAGUGGUAGUGUUGCACAACCUACAUCUAAACUGAAAUCACAGCGCCUCAGGCAUCUAUAUGCAACAUCCCACGAGUAUAGUCCUUUGAAACAAGCACUGCAACUCGUUCCCUCGUUGUGGACAAGAAAGAGUGAAUGCUCAUGACUUGGGUGCUUCAAGGUGUCCGACAAUAACAUACAUUGAAUGUCAAUUUGGAAGCUGCAAUCUCCUUCGUAGCAUCUGUAGCUAAAUCCUUGAUACAGACGACGGUAAGC
rnacentral:lncRNA from 1 species